GUGAGGAAUUUUCCGCAAUGGGCGAAAGCCUGACGGAGCAAUGCCGCGUGAAGGAUGAAGGCCUAUGGGUUGCAAACUUCUUUUCUCAGAAAAGAAUUAUGACGGUAUCUGAGGAAUAAGCAUCGGCUAACUCUGUGCCAGCAGCCGCGGUAAGACAGAGGAUGCAAGCGUUCUCCGGAAUGAUUGGGCGUAAAGCGUCUGUAGGUUGUUUAAAAAGUAUUCUGUCAAAGAUUAGGGCUUAACCCUAGAUAGGCAGAAUAAACUUUUAAGCUAGAGUUUGGUAGAGGCAGAGGGAAUUCCCGGUGGAGCGGUGAAAUGCGUAGAUAUCGGGAGGAACACCAAAGGCGAAGGCACGCUGCUGGGCCAAUACUAACACUGAGAGACGAAAGCGAGGGGAGCAAAUGGGAUUAGAAACCCUUGUAGCC
rnacentral:rRNA from 1 species